rnacentral:pre_miRNA from 1 species
UACUGAUGACGAUGAUGAUGAUGAUGAUGGAGUUGACAGGAAUUCGAUCAAUAGUCAUCUAUUUGCAAGUUUGACUCAAAAUCGCUCAACAGCUACAAAGUCUUGUUUGAGUCGUUCUUGUUUUGCUUCAAUUUCGACAUUAUCAUCAUCGCAAAAG